rnacentral:rRNA from 1 species
UACGUAGGGUGCGAGCGUUAAUCGGAAUUACUGGGCGUAAAGCGUGCGCAGGCGGUCUGUUAAGACAGAUGUGAAAUCCCCGGGCUUAACCUGGGAACUGCAUUUGUGACUGGCAGGCUAGAGUAUGGCAGAGGGGGGUAGAAUUCCACGUGUAGCAGUGAAAUGCGUAGAGAUGUGGAGGAAUACCGGUGGCGAAGGCGGCAUCCUGGACCAACACUGACACUGAGGAGCGAAAGCCAGGGGAGCAAACGGG